CUCGUUUCCUACCGCUCUGUAACUUUCCACAGCCUGUCCGGGUGGGCAUGUGCUGUGUCAGACGCUGGCUGACCGACAAUGAGGCAUUAUCACAGUUUUAACCCUAACGAAGCUAUGAUGUGUGGAGGUCUCGGAGCCACAUCAAAAUAAAAAGGGAACAGCCUAGUUUCUGCUUUCACGUUUGGAGCGGCAGCGCAAACUCCUGUAAACUUAGAAGACGAGUUGGCUACCCCAGUCCAGCUCCAGCUUUCUGCAUCAGCAAGAACUGAUGGGACAAACCCUGGAGGACCACCAUGGUCGGUAAAGCUCGUCCAAGUUCACUGCUGGGAGGCCACUGGAACAAGAGACUGGAAAGCCUGUCCAGGCAGAGAAGUGACUCCCUCGCCCUGCACUGCCCCGUGCAGUGACCAGGAGCCACUCAGUGCUUCCUUAAGUUUAACCUUUUGGUGUA